CGUAGGGUGCAAGCGUUAUCCGGAAUUAUUGGGCGUAAAGAGCUCGUAGGCGGUUUGUCGCGUCUGCUGUGAAAACUGGGGGCUCAACCCCCAGCCUGCAGUGGGUACGGGCAGACUAGAGUGCGGUAGGGGAGAUUGGAAUUCCUGGUGUAGCGGUGGAAUGCGCAGAUAUCAGGAGGAACACCGAUGGCGAAGGCAGAUCUCUGGGCCGUAACUGACGCUGAGGAGCGAAAGGGUGGGGGAGCAAACAGGCUU
rnacentral:rRNA from 1 species